rnacentral:rRNA from 1 species
CAGUAGGGAAUCUUCCACAAUGGGCGAAAGCCUGAUGGAGCAACGCCGCGUGUGUGAUGAAGGGUUUCGGCUCGUAAAACACUGUUGUAAGAGAAGAAUGACAUUGAGAGUAACUGUUCAAUGUGUGACGGUAUCUUACCAGAAAGGAACGGCUAAAUACGUGCCAC